GGAGCAUGAUGGCUGCAGCGUGGUGCCACUCCCGCCCAUCCUUACAUUAAGACCUGCCUAGUGGUUCCCAAGCCUUGCUAAGGAGUCUGGAAGCUUCACCGGGAGAAGAACCCCCUGCCUCCCCAACCCCCUCGCGGGCCCAGAGCCAUGCAGGUGGGUGUGCUCUGUGAAGGGCUAGCUGGAGGGGGAGCUCUGGGCACUUUCUCCCUCAGCCCUGGCAGCUGCUGGGCAGGUGGGGCCCUCCCCGCAGGUGGGUGUGUUCCCUAGUGAUUUGAGACCCUGGCCUCAAGCUGUGUACCUGGGCCGUGGGCAGUCAUCCAGCUCUCAGGGGCGAAUGCACCCACUUUUCACGAUUUCAGCCUUUGCUAAUUGCCAAGGCCAUUUCUCCCUGGAGCUCAAUUUGACUCCUACAUGAGUCCUGGGUACCUUCUCUUUCCCACCUGCCGCUUUACCUGCAAGAGUGAUCACAGGUCAUAGUGUUAGCCUUGGAUUAGAUUUCAGUGAGAGGCUGUCUGAGCUAAUUUUCUCAUUUCCAGUUGAGGAAACGGAGGCGUAAGAAAGACUAGCGAUUUAACCGUGUUCACAGCGUUAGCCGUGAUUUGUCUCAUUGGGAAAUGUGGCUUGAGGAAGUGAAUGGACGAUCCUGGAGAGCAUCGGCUGGCGGGACGUGCUGCCUCUGCUCAGGCUGUUAGGGUCAUCAAAAGUCGCUGUGGCCAUCUUCCACCUUGUCGCCCCUCCAAAGCUGCCUGAAGUCCAUCCCGGCGGGAAGCCUCUCCAGGGAGGCGUAUUCAGUCUCUCUGGAGCCCCGCGCUCUCGAGUUAGGAAGAUCUCCCAAAUGCACCCUUGGGGGCAGUUUUCAUUCCUUCCUUCUUUGUAGGUCAUUGUGAAAAUGAAAACCACAUUGAUUAAUUAAUUAAACAUUUACUGAGCCCUUACCCAGCAACCCGGCGCUGACUUAGGAAAGUACCGAGUGGACGGGCCGGAGACUCACACCUUCUUCGAGCUCCAGCUGUCUGCGGCUGCCAGGCCGAGAGGCCCGCUCUUGGAUUCAGCAGGGAGGAAGUUUGAGGCUGCAGGCACUGGAGGCAAGAGGCUAACCAUGAACGCUGCCAGCAAAUCAGCCUCUGUCCCCACACUCCCAGCCGGCUAGAAUCUGGCUCGCACAUACCUGCUUCGUCAUCGUCAUUCCCUUCCUGAAUGUUCUCAAGACUGUUGGUUGGAACACGCCUUCCUAGCUUUCUGGCAAAAAAAAAAAUCUUCAUUAUUCUCUGCCUGCUUUUCCUCUUCUUCCCCCCACCCCCCAUUAAAAUGGGUGCCCCUCAGGGUUCUCCCUGGGCCAUCUUGUACCUUCUGUCUGUACAGUCCUUGGGGCUCCUCUAUGGCAGAACCUUCAGUUAUCACUCACAUCCUAAGGCUCGCAAAACUUCUCCUCUAACCGAGCGAGAUCUUUCUCUGAGCUCCAGAUCUCCACGUCCAGUGCUGACCUCUCCCCUUGGCUGCCUCCCAGGCCCCGGUCAAGCUCAACACGUCCAUAGUGAAAUUCGUUGUUUCUGACCCAAACCUGCUGCCCCGCCUGGUUCUCUUUUUCAGUAAAUGCCAUCCUCUUCCACCCACUUCUCAAGCUGGAGACCAUGUGUAUACUUUCUUUCCCUUCUCUUCCCAUGUGCAAUCAGCGUAGUAAGUUUUUCAUAAAAUUUUAUGUAGUCAAUCAAAACUACUACCCUUUACUUUGAAAUUCUGUUCAUCCUGUGUCUUUGACUCAAAAUGCAUUAAAAAAAAUGAGAUGUAGGAGAUGGUAGAUGGCAAUUUGUUUCUGUUUGUAUGUUUUUAGUAUCAGUUUUGGAGACGCUGUGGAUUGCUCCCAAAACCCAGAUUCCUUUCUCUUUUCCCCCAGGAUCCAGUUUUGUUCAGAUGGCCACCCUAUCCCCCACUUCAGAAGGCAAUUCUGAUUAGUUUAAACCAGCAGUUCUAUCAAAGUGUGACUACAAGACCCUUUCAGGGGGUCUGGGAGGUCAAAACUAUUUUCAUACUAAGUCAUUAUUUGUCUUUUUCACUCUCAUUUUUUUAUGAGCAUAUGCUGGAUUUUUCCAGAGGCUAACUGUCAUGUGAUAUUGCAACAGAUUGAGUGCAGAAGCAGAUAUGAGAACCCAGCUGUCUUCUAUUAAACUCGAAAUUAAAGAGAUUUGUAAAAAUGUGGAACGAUGCCACACUUCUCACUAAACUUAAAAACAACAGUUAUUUUUUCAUAGCAAAUGUUUGUUAACAUGUAGUAAAUUUAUUAUUUUUAUUUUUAAAUGAAUUGACAAAUAAAUAU
ensembl:lncRNA